UCUGCUGACGCCAGAGAUAGUCGGGCAGUUUCGUCAGAAGCUGUUACGCCGGCUAGUCGAGUACCCACUAAUUGAUGGGAGGGUACCGGCAAGACAACCUGGAUCGGGGAAGGCUAAGGCACUCAGUGCUAUGCUAAUCCCGAGCAGAGCUACCACGGAGCGAUUCGUGGAUAGCCUGUGUAGAGCGCGGUAAGGUGUCGGCCAACUCACGUAGUUGGCUUAAGGGACGUGCCAUUCCCACUCGAAAGAGUGGCUGCCAGCAGAAGCGCCCAUCACGCGAGCGCUGGCAGGUUUCAAACGUGCUUGCAAAGCACGCCGUUGAAAGUUACAUUAAAAGGCCAGCAGCCGCGGUAAUUCCAGCUCCAAUAGCGUAUAUUAAAGUUGUUGCAGUUAAAAAGCUCGUAGUUGAAUCUUUGGCCUGGCUGGCGGGUCCGCCUCACCGCGUGCACUUGUCCGGCCGGGCCUUCUCUUCUGGAGAACCGCAUGCCCUUCACUGGGCGUGUUGGGGACCAGGACUUUUACUUUGAAAAAAUUAGAGUGUUCAAAGCAGGCCUUUGCUCGAAUACGUUAGCAUGGAAUAAUAGAAUAGGACGUGCGGUCCUAUUUUGUUGGUUUCUAGGACCGCCGUAAUGAUUAAUAGGGACAGUCGGGGGCAUCAGUAUUCAAUUGUCAGAGGUGAAAUUCUUGGAUUUAUUGAAGACUAACUACUGCGAAAGCAUUUGCCAAGGAUGUUUUCAUUAAUCAGUGAACGAAAGUUAGGGGAUCGAAGACGAUCAGAUACCGUCGUAGUCUUAACCAUAAACUAUGCCGACUAGGGAUCGGGCGGUGUUAUCGAUUUGACCCGCUCGGCACCNUGC
rnacentral:rRNA from 1 species